UCCAGAUGAUUUGAAUUGGUGUGACAGCUAAUAUCAUGUUAGAGUUCUGAUGGAG
rnacentral:snoRNA from 1 species